CUAUUCAAUUUGAAUGAGUGAUAUCACCUAUUCGAAUAGGUGAUAUCACCUAUUCGCAUUUCUUACAACAACAAAUAAUGAAUGCUCCCUUCCUCAAGAUUAUCUAGAUUUUCAUUGGAACCAAGCAAAUUCGGGCUGCGUUAGGGUCUGUAAGUCUCGUCAUGUGACUCGCGAGAUUUUUCGAUAAUAUUAACUUCCAGGUACCUCACACAUGGAGAUGUGUAUUGGGUCAUGCAUGUUUAUGGUUUACACAAAGCGUAUAAGGAAAGUUUAAGCAGUUGUACAAAGCCGGAGGGUUCUCCGACUUACGAUGGAUAAAUUGAGGGUCGUAAAAGCUUGGGUGCGAGCAAGUAGGAGGAGAAUUUCGAUCGAAGUACAGAUUUUUCUUGAAUUCGAGGAUAAUGAUGUUAUUACCAGCUGAUUAAGGAGGAGUAGUGUAAGUGUCAGAUGGGUACGAACGUCAUCUUGUGACAGCAUCACCUUUGUUUGGCUAAAGUACAAGAGAACUGCAGCAUCUCAGACUACAUGUACAUCAACUUUGAAUAAUCUACCCGGUAUAUCCUCAAAAAGGCAACUCAAAUACAGAAAGUGCAUAUAAUUUGGAAAAGAGACCAUCAAUCCACUGGGGGGUAUCGCAUGAAAGCAAUGAUUAUAGAAUAUUGUAAGGCUGGAGGAGUUAUAGUACAACAGG